CAAUAGCGUAUACUAAUGUUGUUGCAGUUAAAAAGCUCGUAGUUGAACUUCUGGUAGGAGUGUCCCGGCCUUUUUGUUUUUACAAAUUGUAUGCUGUGUGACAUCUCUGGCCAUCCUUCUUCUUUGUUUAAAGAAGAUCUUUCACUGUAAAAAAAUUAGGGUGUUCAAAGCAAAAGUUUCUUUGGAAUAUAUUAGUAUGGGAUGAUGAGAUAGGCUCUAGAUGCUAUUUUGUUGGUUUGCACAUUUAGAGAAUGAUUAACAGGGACAGUUGGGGGUAUUCGUAUUUACAUGUCAGAGGUGAAAUUCUUGGAUUUUGGAAAGACGAACUACUGCGAAAGCAUUUACCAAGGAUGUUUUCAUUAA
rnacentral:rRNA from 1 species